AACGAACGCUGGCGGCAUGCCUAACACGUGCAAGUCGAACGAGACCUUCGGGUCUAGUGGCGCACGGGUGCGUAACGCGUGGGAACCUGCCCUUAGGUUCGGAAUAACUCCCCGAAAGGGGUGCUAAUACCGGAUAAUGUCUUCGGACCAAAGAUUUAUCGCCUUUGGAUGGGCCCGCGUUGGAUUAGCUAGUUGGUAGGGUAAAAGCCUACCAAGGCGACGAUCCAUAGCUGGUCUGAGAGGAUGAUCAGCCACACUGGGACUGAGACACGGCCCAGACCCCUACGGGAGGCAGCAGUGGGGAAUAUUGGACAAUGGGCGAAAGCCUGAUCCAGCAAUGCCGCGUGAGUGAUGAAGGCCUUAGGGUUGUAAAGCUCUUUUACCCGGGAUGAUAAUGACAGUACCGGGAGAAUAAGCUCCGGCUAACUCCGUG
rnacentral:rRNA from 1 species